GACGAACGCUGGCGGCGUGCUUAACACAUGCCAGUCGAACGGACAGGCCCUGCUGUUGUGGGGUGCUCGAGUGGCGAACGGGUGUGUAACACGUGAGUAACCUGCCCUUGACUUUGGGAUAACUUCAGGCAACUGCGGCUAAUACCGGAUAGGAGCUCCUGCUGCAUGGUGGGGGUUGGAAAGUUUCGGCGGUUGGGGAUGGACUCGCGGCUUAUCAGCUUGUUGGUGGGGUAGUGGAUUACCAAGGCUUUGACGGGUAGCCGGCCUGAGAGGGUGACCGGACACAUUGGGACUGAGAUGCGGCCCAGACUCCAACGGGAGGCAGCAGUGGGGAAUGUUGCACAAUGGGCGGAAGCCUGAUGCAGCAACGCCGCGUGCGGGAUGACGGCAUUCGGGUUGUAAACCGCUUUCGCCUGUGACGAAGCGUGAGUGACGGUAAUGGGUAAAGAAGCACCGGCUAACUACGUG
rnacentral:rRNA from 1 species